rnacentral:lncRNA from 1 species
CUCCAGGAAUACUUGAUGGACAUGAUUUCCUACAGGCAAAAGGAAAUAAACAGCUCUGCAUACGUAAAGGGCUGAGGUCAUUGCCCCUUGGUGUUUCUCACCUGGCAGGAGAGAGGAGGGGCUGUAGAAUUUAGCAGGGAGACAAUGAUGGUGACUCAGUGCUGAAAGUUUCCCGCAAGCAGACACAGGCCACUUUCCCUGUGUCUACUCACAAGCUCACCCAAGAAAGAGCCUAUGCCUUCGGGGCUCAUCUCCUCCCUGUCAUCUCUCUCCUCACAACUAAAAGGAAGGCCUAGAACAGCUCCACUCAGGGAAUGAGUGCAGGAGAAUCACCAGGACAUGGUGGGCCAAUGCAGAUUUGGAUUCAGUAGCUCCUGGGUGGUAGGACCUCACAGUCUGCAUCUCUACUAAACUCCAGCUCCUGGUGACCUUGAAUCUACUUUCUGCUGCUGAGAAUUUACCUAUUUUGGAUGCUUCAUGAGACGAUUCCUCUUAGCAAAAGGGCACUGUGUACCCUCCAAGGCUGGAAAUGAUAGGUUUUCGGCGAGGAGUGAAAAUAUUGUGCUGACAGCCCUUUGCCUGUGUAGAGCAGGGUUGUUUACUCGCGCUGGAGCACAGCUUUAUUGAAGCAGAGAGUCAUGGUCCCAUCAUCAGGGUUGCCUAGCAACCAGUCUACGCCACUCCACAGAGUUUCAGAAUGGGCUGGACCACAAGUACCCACUUUGGGGGAUUUCCAGUGACAGUCCUACUCUCACUCCAUCACAUCGCUUCUAAAAUCUGAGUCACAUGGUUCAAAUUUCACAGUACAAAGUGUGUUCUUCAGAUCUGGGGUUCUCUCCAAAAUGGAUAAUCAUUAUUGAUUUUGUAAUGCAAUGCCAAGACCAUCAGUAAGAAAGAAAAUAAAAGAGACUGAGAAACCACAGAAAUAAAGAAGCGCUGAUGACAAUGCCUGCUUGCUGAUGGUUACGAUGAUCAUAGCAGUGUGCAUUUUGUAUGCAUGAAGCCUGCGACUAAAUAAACGUGUGGGGAAAUAUUUGUAAGGAAAUAAGCUAUUAAUAAAAUAAGCUAAAAUCACAGUUGCUGGACUAUGACUGAUUUUUCCCCUUUCUCUCAUUUAAAAUUAAAUAUUUGUAUGACUUGUAUAAUAGAAAAAUACAUGUAUUCAAUCUUAAAAAGAUAUUCUUAUUUUACACUUUACGGGACAAAAGAGGUUGUAGGUUGGAAUGGUUCAGUCCCCUUGUGACAACUCAAAAACAGAGACCUUAAGCCUUUCUCAACCAAUGUUGCGGGACAAGCAGGCGUGUGAGGCGACAAUGCCAUUAGGGUAUUUUUUGGAAAAAUUUUAGUGUGAGAGACAAAAGCCAAAUUCAAACUGGCCUGAGCCAAAAUAGGUAGGAAAGGGAGAAGCGGAGACAGGGAGGAAGAAAGAGAGAGAACAGAAAGAAAAAGGGAGAAAUGUCGAAAGGCAAAAUUACAACACAUUUAGUUAAAUGAUUGAAUUGGUUUUUAUUUGUAAUUCAUGAAUUGGGGCAGCAUCUCCUCUAAAACUUUAGGAAAAGUGCUCUGAUGAGCUAAACAGAGAAGCUUGGCUUUAUAGGCAGAAAAGGGUGAAGAAAGCAGACACAGGGAACAAAAAGCAGAUUGGUAAGCUCAGGUUACUUCAGGUUACUUUCCUUAUAAAGGUUAAAGUAGAGGGGACUUCCUUAUCAUGCUGGCUACAACUGGCCUGUUUGGGGAUUUGCAUAUUAUCUCUCUCUGUCUUGAGUUCUGGGAAGGUCUGAUGACUUAGUUUCAGUUUGGUGAUAUGGAACUUAGCAUGAGUGACUCCAUCUUGGUUUGGUCUACUGGGGCCUCCUGCAGGAGCUCAGCCCAAAUCAGUGACCUCCUAUAAAUUUCAUUUAAUAGAAAAGGAAGGAAGGAAGGAAGGAAGGAAGGAAGGAAGGAAGGAAGGAAGGAAGGGAGGGAGGGAGGGAGGGAGGGAGGGAGGAAGGGAGGAAAGAAGGAAGGAAAGAAAGAAAGUUGCUUAUAAGUUGCUUAUAACUAAAAAGACCAGCUGGACCCAGGAGCUCUGAGGUUGCUUUCAGGCCUCUGUCCAUCUCUUAGUUUUCCAUCCUCAGACAGGCUCUGCCCUGCCUUACAGUCUAGCAUUGUUGGCCAAAGGUGACUGACUGGCCCAGCUUGGGCUAUAUGUCCUUCCCUGUGGCCAGAGAGAUGUGUCUCUGUGAUGGCCAGGCUUGGGUCACGUACUCCCUCCCCUACCAGAAUCACAUGAAAAGAGGGAGGAAGAGCCGCUUUCCACCAAAGGAAACUGAAGUGCUAUUGUCAGAGGGGUUGCUGGGCAGACCAAAAAGAUGACAAUAUCUGCUCCAAUCGCUCGGGUUGUUGGUGCUUGGCAGAUUUGCCCCUACGUCACUUUUCAGAUGUGGAUAAGACUGAAGGUGACCACAGGCUUCCGAGAGGAAAGCUGCCAAUGGGGGUGUGAGAGGAGGGGGAAUUCUUACUCACCAAGGUUAACACUGUGCACACUGUUCUCCGAGGAAGUGGGAAUUUCCACAUGGUGAGUUCCCUUCCCUGUACAAUGAAUUACUAUCUUGAUGAGAAACCCGUGGGCAGCUGGUUGAGAAGAGAAAGGUAUUCUCUGAAUGAGAGGGAAUUUACCACCUUCCUUUCAAUGGUGACAGUUUUUUCUGGUGUCACCGCAGGGUGUGGAUUGAUUCAUAUACAAAUAUACAUAUCUACAUAGAUGCCAUUCUGCUAGCCUCUGCAAAAUGCAUGCCUGGAGACCAUUUCUGCUGCCUAGGAGAUGUCAACUUUGUCACCACCACUCUCUCUCCACCACUCCCACACCCUGCAGGGGCCAGGUGUGUGGGUGGGGAGCUCCCCAGCUGGAGGCCAGAUUAGAGGUCUCUGUGUGGUGGGGAUGGGGAGGAUGGGGUGGGAAUGAGGUGGUAGGCCACUGGCAGUGGUCCAAGUUCCAUCCAGGAUCUGUCCUAGGCCUCUCCCCAGGCUGUCGCUUCCACCAUUGAAUUUCUAACCUGGAUCUCUAAGGUUAUGAAUAUCUCAUUCCCGCAUCCUGGGGUGCUCAGACAUGUCUCCCCUGAGUCUCUAGCUGGGCUCGUGGCUGUGAUCAUUGUCCUCAGAGUUCCAUCCUCCCAACAAAGGGACAGAAGAAACACAGGGCCCACUUUUCUGGAUUCUGAGUUGGAGCCAAGAAAUUCUAUCUGCUGCUUCCUUCCUGUUGAAUUAUCCCCCAAGGACCCCUUAGUCCCUCCAGUCUCCUCCAGAGGCCUAUAGCUGCCCCAGCUCCCCAUGAUGGAUACCUGGCUCUUUCCUACCCAGAGGAAAACGCAGGCCCUUCCCCAGCCCUGCACUGAACUCCUGUGAGUGGCUGAGGAGAUGAGGAGGUGUGAAGAGUGAGUGUGUUGGGGAGGGAGGGGUCCCCUGCCACCAGGUACCAAGGACUUCUGCCAGAUCACCAGAACUGACACCUGGUUCCACCGGCCAGCUGUGAAGUGUCGGCCCUGACAUCAACAGCUGACCUCCCACAGGGCCUAAGGAAACGGAAUUGUGGGUAAAUGAAACAUUUUAUUUAUUUUAUUUUGUUUUAUUUUUAUAAAUUUUUGGGGAGACAGUUUUGCUAUGUUGCCAAGGCUGGGCUUGAUCUCCUGACCUUAAGUGAUCCUCCUACCUUGGCCUCCUGUGCUGAGAUUACAGGUGUGAAUCACCAUGCCUGGCCAAGAAGUGAAUUUGUAAAAGACAUGAGGAAAGGCCUGGUGGAAAGCUAACAGUGAAAAAAAUUUUCAAUACUUGCUAUAGAAACUAAAGAAACUCACAAUAUUUUGCUCUCUAUUGGAUCAUUUCCAUCAACAUACAAAUAAAUACCUGUUAUUUUUUCCAUCUUUAAAAAAAUGCCUUCAUUAUAAGUGAUUCAACAAAUUAAUAAACGAGAAGGGAAAAAUCUUCUCUAUAGAAGAAUUCCAAAUAGCAUAUGUAGAUACUCUCCCCUCCAGGAAGCCGAGCUUAAAUCCACUCUCUUUGAGAGUGGACUGGAUUUAGUGACUCACUUCCAAAGAGUAGAGUAUGGAAAGGGAAAAUAGUAACUUUAUAGGAAAGAAACCCAGCAGGUACCUUGUUAACCAAAUGAUGAAGGUUAACAUCACCGCUGAUAAGUCAUGUUGCUAUCAUUCACCCGCUGAUACGAUCUCAUGAGAAGGGCAAUUCCCGACUGUGGUAUUCUUCAAAUCUAUUGAGUUAUAAGAAAACAUGAGAUAAACCCAAACUGAGGAACAUUCUACAGAAUACAUGACCAGUAUUCUUCAAAGCCCUUAAGGUCAUGAUAAACAAGGGAAGACUAAGAAGUGAUCACAGAUUGGGAUGACUGAGACAUGAUGACAAAAUGCAGAGUGAUAUCUUGGAACAGAAAAAAGACAUUAGUGAGAAAAUUCAAAAAACUCUGAUUAGAGUUGAUAGUUGGGCUAUUAGUUUUAUACCAAUGUGAAUUUCUUAGUUUUGACAAAUAUACGUGAGGGAAAGCUAGGCGAAGGGUAUUCUGGAAAUCUCUACCCUGUACUGUCUUUUCAACUUUUCUAUGAAUCUAAAGCUCUUCCAAAGAUAAGUCUAUUAAAAAAAUAACAAAAACUUCCUCUAAAAUUUAAAGACGGACAAUAUCAGGUGUUGAUAAAUCUGUGGAGAAUUUGGAGCUCAUACAUUGCUGGUGAGAAUGUGAAAUUAUGUAGUUAUUUUGGAAAACAGUUCGGUAGUUCUUAUAAAAUGAAAGAUACAUCACUAAAUGACCCAACGAUUCUACUCCUUGAUAUCUACCCAGUAGGAAGGAAAUGAUGUCCGUACAAAGACUUGUAUACAAAUAUUCAUACCAUUUUUCAUCAUAAUGGCCCAAAACUAGAAACAACUCAAAUGUCCAUCAACAAGUAAUGGGUAAUCAAAUUGCGGUAUAUAUAUACAAUGAAAUAUAACUCAAUAUAAAGUAAGAAACUACUCAUAGAUACAGCAACAUGGAUAUUUCUCAAGUAUAUGCUGAGCAAAAAAAGCCAGACACAGGAGCACAUCCUAUAUGAUUCAAUUUAUACGACAUUUUAGAAAAGGCAAAACUAAUCUCAGAGACAGAAAGCAGGUCUGUGGUUGCCUGGAGCUGCGGAUUGGGGAGGGGAUGAUGGGAGAGAUUGACAAAAGGAGCACAAGGAACCUUUUGGGGUGAUGCUGGUAAUAUAUAUCUUGAUUGUUGUGGUGGUUACAUGGAUGCAUACAUUUGUCAAAAAUCAUUAAACUGUAUACUUCAAAUUUAUUAUAUGUAAAUUAUGCCUUAAUAAAGUUGAUUUUCUGAAAAGCUUUCUUUGAUCCGUUUACCCUGCCAGCUCCCCUUUUGCAAGACUCCUGAAAGAGCUGCUGAUACUCACUGUCUCCACUUCUACCCCAUAUGUUCUUUCUGAAGCCCACCCCAGCCAGGCUUCUAUUCCCAUCAUGCCAUGGAAACCAUUCUCAUCAAGGCGGCAGUGACCUCCGUGUUGCUAAAUCCAAUGAGCACUCACCACUUUCCAGUACAGUAUAUUAUUCAACCUGCUUGUUUAUUUUGUUUACUUUUCAUUGUCUAUCUACUCAAAGGCAGGAAACUGCUUUGUUCACGGCUGUAUCCCAAGUCCUAGAGUAGUGCCUGGCCCGUAGUAGCUGCCCAGUAGGUACUUGUUGAAUGAAGUAAUAAAGUUUCACCAGCAAGAGCAAACUUCCUACCUCUGGCCUAUCAGCCCAGGUCUGAGCAGACUGAUCCAGGAGACGACAGAGAAAAGGUGGAUCUGGAGGGAUCCUGCCCUGUCCCAGGAUUGGGAGAAUUGAGAGAGGCUCCGGAUUCUUCUUCAUUGUCUUUGGUUGUGCCUCGUGACCUCAGACAGACCUGGGCCUCUGGUUCGCUAGGCUGCAGCUGUGUGCUCAGAGCCACUGCCCACCGCUUAACGUCAUAGUUCUCAGGGGACCUUCCAGGAAUACUCAGAGGACAUAUGUCUGUGACUGCACUGUCCAGGGUACCAGCCACUGGCCAUGUGGCUACUGAGUACUUAUUUGGCCAGUCCCAAAUGAGAUGUGUUGAAACUGUAAAAUUUCAAAGACUUAGUACAAA